UACGAAGGGGGCUAGCGUUGCUCGGAAUGACUGGGCGUAAAGGGCGCGUAGGCGGAUGACACAGUCAGGCGUGAAAUUCCCGGGCUCAACCUGGGGGCUGCGCUUGAUACACGUUGUCUUGAGUUCGGAAGAGGGUCGUGGAAUUCCCAGUGUAGAGGUGAAAUUCGUAGAUAUUGGGAAGAACACCGGUGGCGAAGGCGGCGACCUGGUCCGAUACUGACGCUGGGGCGCGAAAGCGUGGGGAGCAAACAGG
rnacentral:rRNA from 1 species